rnacentral:rRNA from 1 species
UACGUAGGCAGCGAGCGUUGUUCGGAGUUACUGGGCGUAAAGGGUGUGUAGGCGGUUGUUUAAGUUUGGUGUGAAAUCUCCCGGCUCAACUGGGAGGGUGCGCCGAAUACUGAAUGACUUGGAGUGCGGGAGAGGAAAGUGGAAUUCCUGGUGUAGCGGUGAAAUGCGCAGAUAUCAGGAAGAACACCCGUGGCGAAAGCGGCUCUCUGGAACGGUACUGACGCUGAGACGCGAAAGCGUGGGGAACGAACAGG